AGAGUGAACGCUGGCGGCAGGCCUAACACAUGCAAGUCGAACGGCAGCGGGUCAGUAGCAAUACUGAUGCCGGCGAGUGGCGGACGGGUGAGGAAUACAUCGGAAUCUACCUUGUCGUGGGGGAUAACGUAGGGAAACUUACGCUAAUACCGCAUACGAACUAUGGUUGAAAGCGGCGGACCGCAAGGCGUCGCGCGAUUGGAUGGAGCCGAUGUCCGAUUAGCUAGUUGGACGGGGUAAAGCCCACCGAAGGCGACGA
rnacentral:rRNA from 1 species